rnacentral:lncRNA from 1 species
UUUUUUGCCUGACAUCAUGUCCCACACUGUGAUCCUAACACUAAGAAAACUGAGUCAGAAAGAUCAUAAUUUGAGGCCUCUAAUUAAUAUGGACAAGGUUGAACUACAUUUCUAUAUCCUAUUUAAAAAAAGUACAACAGGCCUGAGAGAUUGCUUGCAUGCAGUUAGAAGCACUUGAUGUUCUUGUAGAGGACCUCGAUGGAGUUCCUUCAUGGUGACUCACAAAUGUCUGACACCCCAGUUUCAGAGGAUCUAACGCCUUUAGUGGUAGCCUCCAUGGGCUAUAGCCAUGAGUGUGGUAUGUACACAUGAAUGUAGGCUAAUACUAAUGCACAUACUAUCAACAUAAACAUGAAGAGAAAAACCAACCAGCAAAAAUCCCCAUUGGUAAGUUUUUCUUUUUGGGAAAUUCGGAUACAAAACUGACACAUCUCUAGACAUUAUUAAACAAAAGCACAAAAUGUAGGUCAGCUGUGGUGGUGCCUGCUUUUAUUCCAGGCAGAGGCAGGUGGAUUUAACACAGCCUAGUCUUUGUAUUUAUUACUAUUGUGUGUGUGAUGUGGCCAUGUGAGUGCAAGUACAAGCACACUUACCUCAGUGUGUGUGGGUGCUCCUCUCCAAGCCCCUGUGGGUUCUGGGAAUUGAACGCAGGUCCUCAGGCUUGCACAGUGAGCAUGAGUCCUGUAGGGGCCAUAGUGAUACUGCUUAAAGUGUGACUCAGGGCAAGAUUCUACUUUAUUUUAUGGGUCUGGGCUAUAUCUUCAUAUAGUAAGAAAGAAUAUAUUUGAGUUUGUUUUGAGUUGUCAUGUGAAUUUUUUAUACAAACAUUUUGUGCUCUAAUGUAUGCUUCAGAAGCAGUGUGUGCAUAAUGGGAUAUGGAGAGCUAUCUGUGCUGACGUGCUUAGCGUAUUUGAUGUGUUUCCAAAGACUUCAUGUCCUUAGAUAGGAUUACAGUUCUACUUUUUCUGAUUCUGUAUCAAAAGCUUGUCUCUUUUUUUCUAUAGCUCUGAAAGCAUUUUUGUGUUUGUUUAACAAAUGGGCCAUGAGAAAGAGCACAUUGUUACUUAUUGUAGCCCUGGUUCUUGGAGCUUGCAUGUAGUUGUCUGAUAGGAUUACUGUGUUUUCUGGGUUUCAGUUCUACUUGACACUGAAGUUUGAUCUUAUUCCCUCUCCAGCGCUCCAACAGUAGACAGUUCAUCGACGGCCCUCCUGGGCCUGUGAAGAAAACUUGUUCCAUUGGCUCUACAGUAGACCAGGUAAGAGGGGUUGGGGCCAGAGAACUGGGGUCCUAAACACACCUGGAGUCAGUGGCUCUGCACAGUGUGGUAGCAGUCGGUAUUACUACAGUGUUAUUUGAGGAAGUUAGAGAGUUGUUCUGUAUAGUAAGAUUGCCCAUGUGAGGGGACUUUGAGUAAGACCUGUCAGCUAAGCCGGGCAUGAUGUGAUGGCGCACGCCUUUAAUCCCCGCACUUUGGAGACCGACGCAGGUAGAUCUCUGUGAGUCUGAGGCCAGCUUGGUCUAACAUCGUUCCAGGACAGCCAGAGCUACAAAGCAGGAAUCUGUCUCAAGACAAACAAGAAAAAUAGAACUGUCUAGGUCUGAUGGUCUUUUGUUGUGUCUGUACGCCUGCAGUGUAUAAGAUUUCAGCCUAAGGACUUAGGGCUGGAAUGUAAAUCUUACUCGGGAUUUGGGGAUUUUUACCUACUGGAAAAUACCUGUAUAGAAACAAAGUUAGUCUGUUUAUCUUUCUUUCAUUAUGGGUUUUCUUUCAGGCAAAUGAAUCAAUAGUUGCAAAAACUACAGUGACUGUUCCCAGUGAUGGGGGACCCAUUGAAGCUGUGUCUACUAUUGAGACAUUGCCGUCCUGGACCAGGAGUCGCGGGAAGUCAGGUCUGAUGAACUUAGAGCUACAUUGCCUCCUUACCGCUGCAGAGCUGCCUGUGGUGGCAUCUCUAUAAGCUGAGAUGGGGAACUGGGAAUUAGUGGGUAGCCUAGGCUUCAUACUGACUUCAAGACCAGUCCUUGCAUACAUGGUGAGACCAAAAACCAGCUGCUCUUAUAGAAGGAAGACAUAGGUUUAGUUCCUAGCACCCAGAGGGUGGCUUACAGUCAUCUGUAACUCCAGACCUAAGGAACCUGAUGCACCCUUCUGGUCACCUUAGGUACUGCACCAUACUUGUGGUAUACAGAUUCAUUCAGACAAGCACUCACACACAUAAUGAGUCUCAAAAAAUAAAAUAAAAAGAAGGG